rnacentral:rRNA from 1 species
CCUACGGGUGGCUGCAGUGGGGAAUAUUGCACAAUGGGCGCAAGCCUGAUGCAGCCAUGCCGCGUGUAUGAAGAAGGCCUUCGGGUUGUAAAGUACUUUCAGCGGGGAGGAAGGCGAUGCGGUUAAUAACCGUGUCGAUUGACGUUACCCGCAGAAGAAGCACCGGCUAACUCCGUGCCAGCAGCCGCGGUAAUACGGAGGGUGCAAGCGUUAAUCGGAAUUACUGGGCGUAAAGCGCACGCAGGCGGUCUGUCAAGUCGGAUGUGAAAUCCCCG